rnacentral:rRNA from 1 species
AUUGAACGCUGGCGGCAGGCCUAACACAUGCAAGUCGAGCGGGGUUUUCGGACCUAGCGGCGGACGGGUGAGUAAUGCGUAGGAAGCUACCCGAUAGAGGGGGAUACCAGUUGGAAACGACUGUUAAUACCGCAUAAUGUCUACGGACCAAAGUGUGGGACCUUCGGGCCACAUGCUAUCGGAUGCGCCUACGUGGGAUUAGCUAGUUGGUGGGGUAAUGGCUCACCAAGGCGACGAUCGCUAGCUGGUUUGAGAGGAUGAUCAGCCACACUGGAACUGAGACACGGUCCAGACUCCUACGGGAGGCAGCAGUGGGGAAUAUUGGACAAUGGGCGCAAGCCUGAUCCAGCCAUGCCGCGUGUGUGAAGAAGGCCUUCGGGUUGUAAAGCACUUUCAGUAGGGAGGAAGCGUUGUGUGUUAAUAGUACACAGCGUUGACGUUACCUACAGAAGAAGCACCGGCUAACUCUGUGCCAGCCGCCGCAGUAAUAC